rnacentral:pre_miRNA from 1 species
UAGCAGCACGUAAAUAUUGGCGUUAACUCUGUAAAUAUCUCCAGUAUUAACUGUGCUGCUGAA